AACGAACGCUGGCGGCGUGCUUAACACAUGCAAGUCGAGCGCGAAAGGGGCUUCGGCCCUGAGUAAAGCGGCAGACGGGUGAGUAACACGUGGGUAACCUGCCCUAGGAUGUGGAAUAACAGUUCGAAAGGACUGCUAAUACCGCAUAAGACCACGUCUUUUUGGAGAUGUGGUAAAAGGCUUCGGCCGUCUUGGGAGGGGCCCGCGUCCGAUUAGCUAGUUGGUGAGGUAACGGCUCACCAAGGUGACGAUCGGUAGCUGGUCUGAGAGGAUGAUCAGACACACUGGUACUUAGACACGGACAAGACUCCUACGAGAGGCAGCAGAGGGGAAUAUUGCGUAAUGGGGGAAAGCCUGGCGCAGCAACGCCGCGUGAGUGAAGAAGGCCUUCGGGUCGUAAAACCCUGUCAGAUGGGAAGAAACCUGGGAAACCAGCUGACGGUACCAUCAGAGGAAGCACCGGCUAACUCCGUGCCAGCCGCCGCAGUAACAC
rnacentral:rRNA from 1 species